GGUGUAAGCGCUUGUAGCGUGAUGACAGCGAUGAGUUUUUUGGGUGCAUUGUUUCGCUUCCGUGCAGAAAUCUGGGGUUGCUGGCCUUUUUUGAAGCUUCCUGAGUUGAUCGUACAAGAAAGCCUCAAAAUGUCUAGUUGAUCGUAUUUUGCCACGCCAAGCGUUGGACCAGACAUUCCCGCUUUAUGGAAGGCAUCCACCUAAAGGAAAAUCAUAUUAUUAUAACGUAAUUAAUGCAAUAUAAAUCAAAUAAUAGAUAAAUAAUAUAAUUAUAUUUUAUAAUA